CCUCUUCUGAUUGGUGCAGUGUGCGUUGUGCGUGCCGACGUCACGAGACGGCGGCGAGUCUAUAAGAGCGCGGCUGGAGACGCCGUACGCCUCUUUUUCAGUUACCGGAGUCUGGUUGUAGGCACAGGCGGGUAAACGGAGCCAUCAUGCCGGUGGCCCGGAGCUGGGUUUGUCGCAAAACCUAUGUGACCCCGCGGAGACCUUUCGAGAAGUCCCGCCUCGACCAAGAACUGAAACUGAUCGGCGAGUAUGGGCUCCGGAACAAACGUGAGGUUUGGAGGGUCAAAUUUACCCUGGCCAAAAUCCGCAAGGCUGCCCGGGAGUUGCUGACCCUGGAUGAGAAAGACCCGCGGCGUCUGUUUGAAGGUAACGCCCUGCUGCGGCGACUCGUCCGCAUCGGGGUGCUGGACGAAGGCAAGAUGAAGCUGGAUUACAUCUUGGGCCUGAAGAUUGAGGAUUUCUUGGAGAGACGCCUGCAGACCCAGGUCUUCAAGCUAGGCUUGGCCAAGUCCAUCCACCACGCCCGCGUGCUGAUCCGCCAGCGCCAUAUCAGGUACCAGCUCUGGGCUCCCUGAGCCUUCUCGCCCCCUCCCCUUGGAUGCUUGCCCUCUCUGAGCCUGCUGUCCCUGUCUCUGUGCAGCCCUCGGAGGUGAUGAAGGUGUGAGCUCACCUCAAGGGUACAGACUGACCCCUACAAACAGCUCAUGGGGGCGCUGGGGGCAGCCUCGCCCCCCCAUAGCCCAGCGCAAGGGUCACUGCGGCUGGAGCCGUACACCUUGUGAAGGUUUCUGCCAGGCCAUGCAUGUAGCUGGACAGGGUCCGCAAGCAGGUGGUGAACAUCCCGUCCUUCAUUGUCCGCCUGGACUCCCAGAAGCACAUCGACUUCUCCCUGCGUUCUCCGUACGGGGGCGGCCGGCCAGGCCGCGUGAAGAGGAAGAACGCCAAGAAGGGCCAGGGUGGGGCUGGAGCCGGCGACGAC